CCUACGGGAGGCAGCAGUGAGGAAUAUUGGUCAAUGGACGAGAGUCUGAACCAGCCAAGUAGCGUGAAGGAUGACUGCCCUAUGGUUUGUAAACUUCUUUUAUAUGGGAAUAAAUUGUUCCACGUGUGGGAUUUGGUAUGUACCAUUUGAUUAAGGAUCGGGCAACUCCGUACCAGCAGCCGCGGUAAUACGGAGGAUCCGAGCGUUAUCCGGAUUUAUUGGGUUUAAAGGGGGCGUAGGUGGAUUGUUAAGUCAGUUGGGAAAGUUUGAGGGUUAACCGUAAAAUUGCAGUUGAAACUGGCAGUCUUGAGUACAGUAGAGGUGGGCGGAAUUCGUGGUGUAGCGGUGAAAUGCUUAGAUAUCAGGAAGAACUCCGAUUGCGAAGGCAGUUCACUGGACUGCAACUGACACUGAGGCUCGAAAGUGUGGGUAUCAAACAGGAUUAGAUACCCUAGUAGUC
rnacentral:rRNA from 1 species